rnacentral:rRNA from 1 species
GAGUUUGAUCGUGGCUCAGAUUGAACGCUGGCGGCAGGCCUAACACAUGCAAGUCGAGCGGUAGAGAGAAGCUUGCUUCUCUUGAGAGCGGCGGACGGGUGAGUAAUGCCUAGGAAUCUGCCUGGUAGUGGGGAUAACGCUCGGAAACGGACGCUAAUACCGCAUACGUCCUACGGGAGAAAGCAGGGGACCUUCGGGCCUUGCGCUAUCAGAUGAGCCUAGGUCGGAUUAGCUAGUUGGUGAGGUAAUGGCUCACCAAGGCGACGAUCCGUAACUGGUCUGAGAGGAUGAUCAGUCACACUGGAACUGAGACACGGUCCAGACUCCUACGGGAGGCAGCAGUGGGGAAUAUUGGACAAUGGGCGAAAGCCUGAUCCAGCCAUGCCGCGUGUGUGAAGAAGGUCUUCGGAUUGUAAAGCACUUUAAGUUGGGAGAAGGGCAGUAAAUUAAUACUUUGCUGUUUUGACGUUUACCGACAGAAUAAGCACCGGCUAACUCUGUGCCAGCCGCCG